rnacentral:rRNA from 1 species
GAUGAACGCUGGCGGCAUGCCUAAUACAUGCAAGUCGAACGAAGAAUACUUUAUGGAAGUGUGCUUGCACAUGGAAGCAAAGACCAUUCUUAGUGGCGAACGGGUGAGUAACACGUAGGUAACCUACCAUAGAGACUGGGAUAACGAUUGGAAACGAUAGCUAAUACCGGAUAGGUAAUAAGGACACAUGUCAAUAUUAUUAAAGAUGCUACGGCAUCACUGUAUGAUGGACCUGCGGUGCAUUAGUUAGUUGGUGAGGUAGAGGCUCACCAAGACGAUGAUGCAUAGCCGACCUGAGAGGGUGAACGGCCACAUUGGGACUGAGACACGGCCCAGACUCCUACGGGAGGCAGCAGUAGGGAAUUUUCGUCAAUGGGCGCAAGCCUGAACGAGCAAUGCCGCGUGAGUGAAGAAGGAUUUCGGUCUGUAAAGCUCUGUUGUAAAGGAAGAACGUCUACUAGAGGGAAUGCUAGUAGAGUGACGGUACUUUACCAGAAAGCCACGGCUAACUACGUGCCAGCCGCCGC